rnacentral:tRNA from 2 species
GCCGGAGUGGCGGAAUAGGCAGACGCAAGGGACUUAAAAUCCCUCGGACUCACAAGGUCCGUACCGGUUCGAUCCCGGUCUCCGGCACCA